rnacentral:rRNA from 1 species
UACGUAGGGAGCAAGCGUUGUCCGGAAUCAUUGGGCGUAAAGCGCGCGUAGGUGGCUUCGUAAGUCCGUUGUGAAAGUCAAAGGCUCAACCUUUGAAAGCCGAUGGAUACUGUGAAGCUAGAGUACGGAAGAGGCGAGUGGAAUUCCUGGUGUAGCGGUGGAAUGCGCAGAUAGUCAGGAGGAACACCAAUAGCGAAGGCAGCUCGCUGGGACGUUACUGACACUGAGGCGCGAAAGCGUGGGGAGCGAACAGG